rnacentral:rRNA from 1 species
GACGAACGCUGGCGGCGUGCUUAACACAUGCAAGUCGAACGGAAAGGCCCUGCUUUUGUGGGGUGCUCGAGUGGCGAACGGGUGAGUAACACGUGAGUAACCUGCCCUUGACUUUGGGAUAACUUCAGGAAACUGGGGCUAAUACCGGAUAGGAGCUCCUGCUGCAUGGUGGGGGUUGGAAAGUUUCGGCGGUUGGGGAUGGACUCGCGGCUUAUCAGCUUGUUGGUGGGGUAGUGGCUUACCAAGGCUUUGACGGGUAGCCGGCCUGUGAGGGUGACCGGCCCCACUGGGACUGAGAUACGCCCCAGACUCCUACGGGAGGCAGAAGUGGGGAAUAUUGCACAAUGGGCGGAAGCCUGAUGCAGCACCGCCGCGUGCGGGAUGACGGCCUUCGGGUUGUAAACCGCUUUCGCCUGUGACGAGGCGUGAGUGACGGUAAUGGGUAAAGAAGCACCGGCUAACUACGUG